CAAUCCCCAGGCUGGGGCGGGGCGCAAUGCCUUAACCCCUUUGUAGCUGCGUCCAGGUUUGCGCUUGGGACCCCUCUAUCUCGCCUUCUCCAAGGCUGCGUGAUUUCAGGGAGGACCACUGAAUGUUUUUUUCCUAAGCCUUUGCCCUAGGUGGUAAAAUCAGGAGUGCCUCAAAUGGCCUAAGUGAACAUUGCCCUCACCAAACAAGCCUCCUUAUCAAAUCGGCCAGGUGCAAUUUUGACUUAUCUCUGAGUAGCAGGCUUCAGUUCUCUGUCAGCCUGUGGAAUCAUUCAAACAAGCCAAUCACGUUCCCUGCAGGAAUGAUGGGCUCACCUCACCCUCUUGCUGCUACAAAGCCUGUCCUGCCCAGCUUCUGGUUGUACACUGUAUUUCUGAGUGCAACACCUGGAUGGUCCUGUGUGACCUGUGGUGUCCUCCUUCGCUGAGCUGUGAGGAUAUAGGUGCCCAAUAAACUGCUGUCAAUCUCC